AUCCAGCUGAUGAGUCCCAAAUAGGACUAAACGGGCGUCCUGGAU
rfam:Schistosoma rodhaini strain Burundi genome assembly, scaffold: SROB_scaffold0005818